UACGUAGGGGGCAAGCGUUAUCCGGAUUUACUGGGUGUAAAGGGAGCGUAGGCGGGUUGUUAAGUCAGUUGUGAAAGUUUGCGGCUCAACCGUAAAAUUGCAGUUGAUACUGGCAUCCUUGAGUACAGUAGAGGUAGGCGGAAUUCGUGGUGUAGCGGUGAAAUGCUUAGAUAUCACGAAGAACUCCGAUUGCGAAGGCAGCUCACUGGACUGCAACUGACACUGAGGCUCGAAAGUGUGGGUAUCAAACAGG
rnacentral:rRNA from 1 species